rnacentral:rRNA from 1 species
AGACGAACCGUGCGAACGUUGUUCGGAAUCACUGGGCUUAAAGGGCGCGUAGGCGGGCUCGCAAGUCCGGGGUGAAAGCCCCCAGCUCAACUGGGGAAGCGCCUUGGAUACUGCGGGCCUCGAGGGGGGUAGGGGCGCGCGGAACUUCCGGUGGAGCGGUGAAAUGCGUAGAUAUCGGAAGGAACACCGGUGGCGAAAGCGGCGCGCUGGACCCCUUCUGACGCUGAGGCGCGAAAGCCAGGGGAGCAAACGGG